rnacentral:rRNA from 1 species
CGUAGGAUCCAAGCGUUAUCCGGAUUUACUGGGCGUAAAGAGUUGCGUAGGUGGUGAUUUAAGCGUGUGAUGAAAUCGUGUGGCUCAACCAUACGGCCGUUACGCGAACUGGAUUACUUGAGGACGAGAGAGGUAACUGGAAUUUCCGGUGUAGGAGUGAAAUCCGUAGAUAUCGGAAGGAACACCAAUGGCGAAGGCAGGUUACUGGCUCGUUUCUGACACUGAGGCACGAAAGCGUGGGUAGCAAACGGGAUUAGAUACCCCCGGUAGUCCACGCCGUAAACGAUGAAUGCUAGCUGUUCUAAGGCAUCGACCAUUGGAGUAGCGAAGCUAACGCGUUAAGCAUUCCGCCUGGGGGAGUACGAGCGCAAGCUUA